ensembl:lncRNA
GGAUCACUGCAUAACUGCUUUACACGAGAUAUAUAAACUGAUAAAAAACUAAUAGAUGGUCACUAACUUCAGAAUUUCUAAGUGGCAUUCAUUCUCACCAUGUACUAUAGCCUAGCGAACCCAUUCAGUCUCUAUUAUAAAUUCCCACGUUACACUAUGUAAUCAGCAAACUGUGACGCAAAUAAAACUAUACUCGACUGGCCAAUAUGUAUACACAUGUUUGCAAUAUAUAGAUCGAAAGAUAGAUAGAUAGAUAUAUAAGUAUAUAGAUAGAUAGACAGAUAGAUAUAUAGAUAAAACACGUGACUAAAGAAACUAUAGAGGCGGGGAGCAGUGAUUGACGAAAAAAAAAAUCGAUGCUUUCUUAAUUUCAGAGGGUGGAGACUAAAUGCAACUGCAUCGUGUCAUAAGGAGGAGGGUCUUAGGGAUGCUAUAUGUUUUUGACUUGCAUGGUAAAGUCCAUAUGCAUUUUGUUCGGUGAGUGGCAAGAGGGCGAGGGACGAGCAGCUCCACUAUGCUCUCGGUGGGGGAGGAGAAUGCCAUCUCUAUGGGAAAUAAUUGUGAAAAAAACAACGGGGCAACCCGCCCGAGAGAACCUGAAUGGAUGGGGCCAGUAAGACGUCACGGCGAGCCGCAGCCAUGAAGCGAAGGAUCAAGAGCGAGACAUCAUUUGGAGGCUCAGUCGCGUCGCGCAGAUUGACUAAUUCUCUUGAUCGUUGUGGAGCGCGCGGGUGUCUGUGAUUCCAUGAAAAAGGUGAUCUUGAACAACGCCGGAGGAAUCAGACGUCAUUUAGGCAAAAGUCUGGCAUCUCUGGUUCCCCACGGCGAUGUGGUUACGGGUAGCCUCGGGGUUGGCUGUUAUCUUUGGUUAUCUAGCUGUAUGAGUGAUGUACAUUCUUCAUAAAGCUAGAUAACCGAAAGUAACAAGAAUCCCAUUACGCUCCUGAAAGGCCUGCCCCCUUACUGUCACACGUGGAGUCACCAAGAAACACCAGAUACCUUACAGCUUCAAAAAAGGGCACCACCACCAUCAGUCCUUCAGAGAUGCCAGUGGGAGAGUGAGAGAGCGUGGUUCUUGGGAGGAGGGGCUGCCCCCCCCCCCCACCCCCACACCUCCCUCCAUCACCCCUCUUAUAUGUAGCCUCUCCCUCAGCCCCUCCCUCCGCCUCUGCCUGCCUGCCUGCCCUCUCCUGCGUAUCACAAGAUGCAGCCUGCGCCACCAUCUUAUGAGGAUGCUUGGCAUAAAAUGGAAGUGGGGGGAAAACACGAAAGGAGGUAAAACACUUCAGCUCCUGCACAGCAGAGGAACAGACAGAAAAUGAAGACAGAGAGACUCUCGCCGGCAGACACAAAUAUGGCCACCCACCCGCUCACUCAAUGGAACGCGCGUUGUCAGCAGUUUAUUUUUUGCCCCAACACCUGAUUCUUAAAGCACUUUACACGUCUUCUAUUUACAUUUCAUUUGCCCUUCGGUGGCAGGUGGCCAUUUUGCUCUGGACGAGAACACACCACAUAACACUGUGAUUGACUCGUGACAUAUAGAACCACUCAGAGGCCUGAACACCUCUCCGAGCUCCUCUCUGUCUGUGACUCUCAGUCUGUGACUCUCCGAGCUCCUCUCUGUCUGUGACUCUCGGUCUGUGACUCUCCGAGCUCCUCUCUGUAUGGGAUUCCUGUGAGGCAGCGGUGUUGCCAACUGCAGGGACAUGACCAGAACAGCUCCUGAUCAGACGGGACACACACUCCUGAUCAGACGGGACACACACUCCUGAGCAGACUGGACACACACUCCUGAGCAGACAGGACACACACCUGAACCGUCCCUGUCUCUCUCACCGCCACACUCUGCAGAUCAACAACACACAGCUCAGGCUCAGCUGUUUGCAAUCAAUCUGAGAGAUUUGUGCAAUGCAUUGCAUUAAUUGCACAUGUAUAUUCUGAAAUGAUUGGAUUUAAAAAAAAAAUGUAUAUGGAAAAUGUUUGCAAUGUGCACUAGAUGUAUGUAUGGGUUAUUUGAUGUUUGCUAACCUACAUUAAUGGGAAUGUUUGUGUAAUAAAUUCAAAUAGAGCACUUUUAACCA